CCUGAACCCUGUCUGCCCAGUUAGAGAAGGGGUUAAAUGUUCCCAGCAAGGUCCCUGACUCACCAUGUGUCACUUCCUUGUCACUGAUGAGGCAGGAGAAUGCUGUUAAGCCAGCUUUCACAUCUGUGGAGUCUGUGGAGUCUCUGAAAAGCCUUGAAGAGCUACUUCUAAGGGGUCAACAUUGGUCAGAACAGGGGAUGGCAGUCUGCUGGACACACGGGGCCACCUAAUUGCUUUCCCAUGUCUUGCUGGAGUGGUGCUGGCAGCCAGAGAGCUACCAGAACCUGAACUAAUUUGGUAAAUAAGGACCAAAACCAAGGACCGCAUUUCUGCUUCUUCGCUGAGACCCAGACUCCCCACAGAAUUCCAAAGAUUUUUCUUCCUUGGAAGUCACUGGACCUCCAGCCCUGAAUUCCGCUCCCCAGGAGAGCCUGUUCCCCUGCUCGGAACAAAUAACAUAUUUCCUGGUUAAUUGGAAGUCAGGAAGGCUUGAAGAAGGGUGAUUGGGCCCCCAGUCUUGCAGAGAGGUCAGUCAGCUCAUGGGCUCAGUGUCCUUCUACAGACACCGGGCAACUCGGACUCCUGCAUAGUACAUCUCAAGUUUGAAAGAUGGAGGAAGUCAGGAUGACCUGGUGUCUUCUUUUUGAUGACUUCUCCGCCCAUAGCGGCCGUCUGUUCCAAAAAUUUCCUGGAGUGCUCCUUCCAUCUAGAAAGCUUGCGGCACUAAGGUUCUAUGUUCUUCACUAUACCCUGUGCACGCCAGUCCACAGCUGCUGACACUGGAGGAGAGGAAGAUCACAGAGCUAACCUCAACAUGAUCAUUUACCAUAGUCACAGCAUGAGCUAAGUGACUCUUGGAGCCAGAUUCCUCACCAAUAAACCAGAGAUGUCUUUCUAUACACAGCUCCUAGAAAAACCAACUAUAUAUUGCCAGUGGCAUAACAGCCCAGACCACAAGGGACUGGAGCAGGCUCAUGUGCUGGACACCUGGUCCCCUGCGGGUGGUACUGCUGGGAAAGUUGUGGAAACUUUAGGAGAUGGUGUCCAGCUGGAAGUGGGUCCCUAGAAGCGUGCCAUGGAGAUUAUACCUACUGCCCCUGGUCCCUUGCCACUCUACCCCUUUCUCUUGGCUUCCAGCCCACUAUAAAGUGAUGAACCUCUUCUGACAUCUGUUCCAGACACCACGAUGAUCUGCUUAAGUACAUGGGACUUAAGCAGUAUAUGGCAGAACCAUCUGAAACUGUGAACCAAAAUAAACCUUCCCUCCUUGAAGUUGUUCUCUUGGGUGUUUUAGUCACAAUGACAUGGUGAGCACAGCAACCAGGAAAUUAAUACAGUUUCCCAGGUUUCCUGAAAACUGCUAACCAUGCAAGGUUGGG
rnacentral:lncRNA from 1 species